AGGUCAGGCACGGAUCCACGACGAAGCGCCAUCCGGCCUCCGGAGCCGUGUGCGGAGGUUCGAAUCCUCCAGGGG
rnacentral:tRNA from 1 species